CCCAUGCAUUGGACAGCUCAGUCGGUAAAACAUGAGACUCUUAAUCUCAGGGUUGCGGGUUCGAUUCCUGCAUUGCAGGGG